GAACGGGAGAAACAAGGCACGCGUGGGGAGGUGAUGGUACGGGGUGGAGACGGGCAGCAAUGACGUCCACUCAGCGUCGAGCUGAGCCGUAAGGAGGAGCCAAUCAACGACCAGGUCUCCAAGGCCUUUCCAGCCUGCUCGGCCCUGUACUCACCUUCCUGCGCGGCAUCCUUGGUGGGGGCGGGGGCAGCGAAGGCGGUUGGUCUCCGGUGCCCCCGGCCCGGGAAGCGGCGGUAGCCGCCGCGUUAGCACCGGUGGGCUCCGUGGUGACAGCCGUGUCUCUCGUUCUAUCUCGCUGACGGUCACUCCGCGCCAGGCCGCUCCUCCGCCGCCAACAGCCCCUGUUUCCAGCUAGGUCCCUCACGCUUCCGCCGGGACACGGUCCACACCCCCGUCACGUGACUCAGAUCUAGCCUCACGCCAGCGGCCGCCGCCAUCUUGGAUUCGGACAGGUAGAGUCAGGCUCUGUUGACAAUGAAGCUGGUGGCAGCCAUUUUGGAUGUGGGCACUGAUAUUUCCAGGCGGGGGGGGCUGCCCGCCAUCUUGGUUUAGGGCAUUAAGAAGAAUUCGACCCUAUUGAUGCUCAAAGUUUGAAGGGCCGUUUGGGAUUCGGACACGAUGUUUUCCAAGGAGCCUGAUGUCUGCGACCGAUUAGGGCAGGCCCCAACUGCCUCUGAGGCCAUGAUCGGCCAUCUUGGAUGCUGUCACCAGAGCCCCUUGCUGGUUUCAUUGAUCGAUUCAGUGUGAGUAGGUCGGUUCUGUUCAGAUGCCUGAUGAGAAAGGAAGAUAGAUGCCUUCAAUGCUGAGUUUUUCCAUCUUCCUUCCCAUCCUCUGUUGGAAGGAGGAAAGGACCAGCACAGCAUUGAGGAACCUCUGUUCUGAGGAGAUGACUACAUUGUUCAGCUAUAUUUGAGCGCAGCAUCCAGGAUCCAGCACAUCAAAAAAGUAAUUGGUUUACCUCCGCCAUUCUCAGAGAUGUGGCAGUGACUUCUGGAAGUGCAGCAGCUCUUGAAGAAGAGGUCCAGAAUGCACUGCAUGUAGACAUUUUCUUCUGUCACAGUAGACACAAACCUUCCAUCCUGGGCUGAUUUGAUGAGAUUGAGUUAAACCACAGCUUCCCAGGCUCUGCUGCGUCUGCAUGAGAUAUGCAUACCACACCCGUCUCGCUGCACACCAGCCAUCCCCUCCUGAAGACACCCAUGGGGAAGCAGAAAAGUGAUGUCUGAAACCAUUAGACAGAAUCUGAUCCCAGGGUGAGCCAGGAUAGGAUUACAAGAGCCACUGUGAAACCACGCUGCAGCUGCCAUGCCAGCACUUAAACUCUGUGUACUGCGAGCCACCAUCAUGUCAGAGAAGAUGCACCAAGCACAAGAUCAAGAGUUCAUGUGGCCCAAUGAUCCUGUUUCCGCCCCAACCUUUAACCCUUCCAUUAUUAUUAAAGCCCUACACUACAGUGAUCUCCUUUCAGGCAGGGGGUGGGGCACUGGAUGGGACAAUUUUUGGAAGCUACAAGUGCUGCUUCUUCAUUUAAUUAGAGCCACUUCCAGAAUCUGCACUCCUAGGGGCCUGAUCCUGCAAGUAGCACAGUAUCUCCUGGAGAUACCGAAUGCAGUCAACCCAUUAAAGUCCAUUUGAGUGGAGGGCACUCUGCAGACUGGAGGAUUGGCAUCUAAAGAGAAAGGGUCAGAUCCCUUUGGCAACAGGAGCUGGAUUAGAUCCUAAAACCUGGACUGGGAGCCAAAUCCUGGAGGUACAGAACAUCAUCACUUUGGCUUGUGUACUUGGCACUAGCAUGAGUUACUCUGGUUUGAAAGCAGCAUAAAUUGCACUAGUGCAAGCUCUGCCGUAUGCUGGUGUAGCACAUCUACCUUGAGACUUUGCAUCAGUGCAGCUCUACUGUUGCAAAAAUUACUAAUGUAGACAAACUCUAACCUAUCACUUAAGCCCAAGUGGCUUUCCCUUCUUUACCUAUACCUGUUUCUAAUUUAUCUCGGUGGUAUCUUUAUAAAUCUAAAGUAGUUUCUUAGCUUUUUAUUUUUUUUCUGUCCCUUCUCAUUCACCCACCACAUUUUUUAAAAUAUUAUUUGAGGGGGGAGGUAUGCUGAGAUAGAACUCUUAGAUUUCACCUGAAAGAAGGAAGAAGCUAUGAUCCAUCUAGUAGUAAAUAGUACUAGUGAAACUGCUGUUAGGAGAAAAACUUAAGGAGAGUUUUCUAGUUUAAAGACAAACUAUGAACAUUUCACUGACUUCAGUAUGGGCAGAGUUAGGCUAAAACUGAGUGCUUUUGCAAAUCUCAGCCACUAAGGGACCAUGGACCAAACAUGAGGUCAGACAUUGGGAAUCCUGAGUUCUAAUCCUUGCUAACUUGGUGCAUGGCUAUAAGCAGGUUUAAACCUCUUCCUACCUCAAGUUUCCCCAACUGCAAAAGAGGGCUAAUACUUAAAAGCCUCUCUCACAGGGAUAUUGGAAGGAUAAAUAUUUGUACAUGGCAUUGAAACUAAUAAUUACUAAGUAUUUUCAUUAGGGACUUGUUCAUAAACACGCUUUGCAGUCACUGAGGAUCCUGCAUUCUUCACGCAAAUUACAUCACCUCAAAGAAAGUACUAUAAAUCAGUAGCUGGAGGUCUAAAUGAUUUGGAGGAUUCCUGGAAUAGGUGAAAAACUAAGUCACAGUGUUCAAAUCUGACCCAGCAAUGACUGAAAGUUGGUACUUUCUGACAGCUAGUCAGUAAGGCUUACAGGCCGGGAAGUGAAUGGAGGAUGCUUGCUGUAACUUUAGUGUGAAUAAAGGACUUCAGUUUCCUGAUCUGACAUCUCAUGGGAACACUCAAAUUGAUAAAGAUGAAAUUAAGUACA